AUGAAUUGUCAAGGGGGGGUUGUUGCUGGCCUCUCAUCUGAUAAGCAUGUGCACGCCCCCUUUUUACAUCCAUCCACAACCUGUGCACCCUCUGUAGUUCCAAAGUGGGAGAGCCCGUAAGGCUUUCACAAUCUGGCACUAUGUCUCUUUACAAACGUUUUAUGUAUAGAGUGUCGGCUCAGCGUAUAACAAACGCAGAAAUAUAAAA
rnacentral:misc_RNA from 1 species